rnacentral:rRNA from 1 species
UACGUAGGAUGCAAGCGUUGUUCGGAAUUACUGGGCGUAAAGAGUACGUAGGUGGUCAUAUAAGUCUGUUAUUAAAGACCGGAGCUUAACUCCGGGAAUGUAAUGGAAACUGUAUGGCUAGAGGACAGUAGAGGAAGUCGGAAUUCUCAGUGUAGCGGUGAAAUGCGUAGAUAUUGGGAAGAACACCGGUGGCGAAAGCGGACUUCUGGGCUGUUACUGACGCUGAGGUACGAAAGCGUGGGGAGCAAACAGG